CUUUGUUGGGUCAUUGUUCAGGUACCUCAAGGAGCUGUCAGCUCUCCAAUCUUGUUCACUCUAUAUACCAAUGAGUGUAGAAGUAGUCAGUCCAACAAACAUGUCAUAAAAUUCUCUGACGAAACAAUUGUUUUAAGUUUUUGCGCGUUGGUGACUGCCCUUCAACUUAUUACAGGGAGACCGUCUCAUUUAAAGCUUGGUGUGUGAGGAAUUAUCUCAUCCUUAAUAAUUUGAAAACUAAAGCGAUGAUAUUUGAUCCCAGGGAAGUGAGAGCCCACGACAAUGUAGUCAUUCGGGACAGAGAAAUCGAGCAAGUAACUUCAUACAAGUACUUGGAUAACCGAUUAAAAGGAAAUGUACUGUAUAUGUCGACUAUUUGUGUGCCAAACUGGCCCAAAGACUGCAUUUUCUCCGCAGAUUGAGACUGUUUGGGUGAUUCGUAACAGUUCUGGAGGGCGCAGACGAAUGAUGUCAUCCUGCUGACAGGGGAGGCAGAUCAGAAAACACUUCCAUGUGUUUCUGUCGUUUAACUUGUGGGCUCUUCCCAAACUGAUCAGAGCAGCCACAACAGCAGUAACUCCAACUGCUACCACCACAAUACCAAGGCUCACACUUGGACCCAUUACAGUUUUUCUGUCAUCAGGCUGGACACCGAGGACUACAUCUGCCCUGGCUGCCCUCAGGCAAGCACACACGCUACACACACGCGAGCGCACACACACACACACACACACACACACACACACAGGGCAGAAGGCAGUGCGGAGGUGCACGUACUGUAUAAUCUUCAGGAAGUGAUUAGGGGGUGUGAGAUCAAAGGUUUUGUGCAACAGGAAAACAUUCCUCCCUCCGUUCGCCUUCGGGGAUAGAAGGACGGACAGCUUCCUCAUGUUUAAAUCUGACUGCCUCGAAACAACUGACACUCAAACUUCUUUUAUGGUAACAAAAGCCCUGAUUCAAAACUGUUACGGUACGAACUCAUCCAUAUAAUCCAUAUGUUUGAUAAUAGGCCUACAUGCUUUUUAUAGAGGAAGAUUUUUAGUUAAUGCUUUUUAAACAAACUUCAGUUCUCUCUGCAUUUUCAGGAAGGAUUCUUUGAAGCGUGAGGAAAACAUAAUUUAAUAAUAAAUACCCUUAUAAUGCUCUAUAAUGCCCUAUAAAACACACAUUAAAAUUAUAAAACUUUAGGAAAAUCUAUUAAUAAAUACACAUAAAACACAACUGUGAGAUGUGAGAUUUGUCAGAUUUUACAUAAAAAAAACAGAUGAUCAUCUUGUGUAUUAUGAUGCAUUGUUAUAGAUGAAACUACCCAACAGUGUGUUAAGUAAUAUAAUUUAAUAAAAUACAGCUUAAAUGUUAAUGCUUUAACAAAUAUAAUCCCACAAUCAGGGUGUGAAACACAGGAGAGCUAUGUGGAGCUCAGCUACCCUGUAAGAGACAUGAGCUCCCCAGAGAGCUCUAAAGUAUUGUAAUUUUUGGUACCAUUAUUUUUUUUCUGUGUAAAUUUAUAUUUUUCUUUAGGUCCCUGUACUAAAUAGUAGACUAAUAGUAAACCACUUGUGAAAGUGCGGGUUUAUUCGCACAUAACAGUUUCUGAUAAUUUGUAUGUAAUAACAGUGCUGUCAAUUCCUGCUGUGGCACAUCCAUGCGUGAAGGCACAUGUUCAUAAUUAUCAUGGGAUGCAACUUAAGUCUGGUCUGUUUAAUAAAGUAAUGCA